rnacentral:misc_RNA from 1 species
AAGUCGUAACAAGGUCUCCGUAGGUGAACCUGCGGAGGGAUCAUUACACACGUAUCCCAAAUACGUUUCAAACCAAACCGUGCUCUUUACAUUUUUCCCUGCAUUGUUUCAGUGAUUAUGUGACAUAAAAGGUGGAUUGAUGUAUACCUUUUGGGUGUAUGUCAAUGCACGUAAUCUUUAACUGUUACUUUGCAGUAGUAAUUUUUUAGCCACCUGGCUACUUGUGCCAACCCGGUUCCGACCCGGAGCCUUGUAGCCUUAUUGCUCCCAUUUUUUUACCCCUUUCUUUUUUUAAUGAACUGAAACAUGUUGUGUUGAUACCCUCUGUGGUAUAGGCACACGUAUACGAAAUAAAAGAGAACAACUCUUAGCAAUGGAUAUCUUGGUUCUC